AGGUUAAAACUCAAAUGAAUUGACGGGGGCCCGCACAAGCGGUGGAGCAUGUGGUUUAAUUCGAUGCAACGCGAAGAACCUUACCUACACUUGACAUACAGAGAACUUACUAGAGAUAGUUUGGUGCCUUCGGGAACUCUGAUACAGGUGCUGCAUGGCUGUCGUCAGCUCGUGUUGUGAGAUGUUGGGUUAAGUCCCGCAACGAGCGCAACCCCUAUCCUUAGUUGCUAGCAGGUAAUGCUGAGAACUCUAAGGAGACUGCCGGUGAUAAACCGGAGGAAGAUGGGGACGACGUCAAGUCAUCAUGGCCCUUACGUGUAGGGCUACACACGUGCUACAAUGGCGCAUACAGAGUGCUGCGAACCUGCGAAGGUAAGCGAAUCACUUAAAGUGCGUCGUAGUCCGGAUUGGAGUCUGCAACUCGACUCCAUGAAGUCGGAAUCGCUAGUAAUCGCGUAUCAGAAUGACGCGGUGAAUACGUUCCCGGGCCUUGUACACACCGCCCGUCACACCAUGGGAGUGGGUUGCUCCAGAAGUAGAUAGUCUAACCCUCGGGAGGACG
rnacentral:rRNA from 1 species